rnacentral:rRNA from 1 species
AUGAUUGGUGCCUUCUGGAAUAUCAGAGGCCUAAAUGGCUCUAUUAAGUGUUCUAGAGUGCAAGAGCUUAUAAAAGCUUGUAGCCCUGACUUUAUUUGUUUAUCUGAGACAAAAAAAGCCAAUUUCACCAUACCAAAGCUAGAGGCCAUAGACUCUAGAAAUGGUUUUGUGUGGAAUUGGCUACCUGCUUCAGGUACUGCAGGUGGUAUCCUAGUAGGUGUUAAAGAGGAUUCUUUUGACAUCCUCCAGUGUGAGAUAGGAACCUUUUGUAUUUCUUGUAUUUUGAAAUUUAAGCAUAAUAAUACCAGAUGGAGAUUGAUAUCUGUGUAUGGUUCUGCUUAUGAUGAGUUCAAGAUUGAUUUUCUCAAUGAGCUUCACAGUGUCCUUGCCGGUUGGUCAGGACCUACUCUUGUAGGGGGUGAUUUCAACCUGGUAAGGGAUUCUAGUGAAAAAAUACUGGUAAUAUUAACCAGCAUUGGGCUGAUCUGUUUAAUGAUUGGAUUAACAACUUUGGCCUAA